AUACUUACAAGGUAUAGCAAUUUGGUGGCAACUGAUUUACAUUAAGUGAUUGAUUGAAAGUUGUGUUGAAAGCAAUGGCAUCAAGCACUAGUUUUGUUGUUGUUCUACUUGGCUUCUUUUUACUUGUUUCGUCAUUCACUGCCAUCCCAAUCUCAAGAACUAUAAAUCUAAUUGAUGAAGGGUCUCUUGAAGUUUCAAGCAACACAGACUUGAAUGUAGAAGACAACUGGGAUGAGACCAUGUUAUCAAGAAGGAUGGUUUUAACAAGUGAUUAUCCAGGAUCCGGUGCGAAUGAUCGUCACACACCAAGGCCAUAAGCAUGGAUACGAAAGCAAUUUAACGUUGAAAUGAUUUAAAAUAAAAACAAUUAGCCAUUGUAUAUCAAAUAAACAACUGAUUUAUUUUAAUUCGUGUGAACAAGGUUUUGAAUGUAAGAAAUAUGUCAUGGUUGGAGAGUGAAUGAUUUGUGUUGCUAUUAUGA